rnacentral:rRNA from 1 species
GACGAACGCUGGCGGCGUGCUUAACACAUGCAAGUCGAACGGAAAGGCCCUGCUUUUGUGGGGUGCUCGAGUGGCGAACGGGUGAGUAACACGUGAGUAACCUGCCCUUGACUUUGGGAUAACUUCAGGAAACUGGGGCUAAUACCGGAUAGGAGCUCCUGCUGCAUGGUGGGGGUUGGAAAGUUUCGGCGGUUGGGGAUGGACUCGCGGCUUAUCAGCUUGUUGGUGGGGUAGUGGCUUACCAAGGCUUUGACGGGUAGCCGGCCUGAGAGGGUGGACGGCCACAUUGGGACUGAGAGACGGCCCAGACUCCAACGGGAGGCAGCAGUGGGGAAUAUUGCACAAUGGGCGGAAGCCUGAUGAAGCAACGCCGCGUGCGGGAUGACGGCCUUCGGGUUGUAAACCGCUUUCGCCUGUGACGAAGCGUGAGUGACGGUAAUGGGUAAAGAAGCACCGGCUAACUACGUG